UUAUAUCUCAAUUCUCUCACUUGGUUCAUCAUUUUUCAUAUAGAUUUGGUUUUGCUUUUCUGUUAAGGUUGUAGCCAGGCUGAUGGGAUCCCAGAAAAACCGAGCUGAAACUCAAACCGCAGAAUCUGAAUCUGCUCCGGGUUCGACUUCUUUACAUUUAGGUUGAAAUCAGAGAAGGGAUGGUUGGGGCUAAUAGUAUUAAUAAUAAUAAUAAUAAUAAUAUCAUCAAUAGUAAGUGGAUUCAGUGAGUUUUUUUAUUGAUGCUUUGAUUGAUGAACACAGUGAUUGUUUCAAGGAAAAUUUACAAAAGGUACGUAAUUAUUACAAGCAUUUUUUAUUUUUGUUUUCUUUGCUUUACAACAUGAAGUGGGAAAAAAAAGUGAUUCUUUUGUUAUUUACGAGUUGUUCUGAUAAACGGCUUAAUUAUUUUGGUGGAAGAUAUUAUUAUUAUUAUUUUUGUUAGCCACGAACCAUCUCUUCUCAGAUUUCAACCCUUGAAGUAAAGAAGUGGAUGAUGCUCCCAUUAAUGAACACAGUGAUCGUUUCAAGGAAAAUUUACGUGGUUGACAGAUGGGACGGCUGGAAUUGCAAAUGAUAAAUUUGCAAUGAUAAAAGUAUUUUCUCUUUUCAGAAGAAAGAUUAUAUCUGGCCGCAAUAAACCUGGCAGUCUCCCUGUAGAAAAUCUUUCCCAUGCUUUAUUAUUUGGGACCUGAAAGUUGGGUGCAACAGUUUUUCAGGGAAGUGUUAAAUAACUGGGUUUUUUCCCCCUUUUUCUUAGACCUUACAGUAAGAAUUACUCUAUUUUUUACAAAAAAGCUGGAAUUUGAGAAUAAAGAAAAAGAAUUGUAGGAUUGAAUUUUGAAUUUUAUGAAUUGAAUGUCAUCUGAUGCAUAAAUCAAAUGAGUUAAUUUUAAAUUCAAUUAUCUCUUUUUUAUCUAUGAAUUUGUUCUAUUCAUCCCAUUUACAGCCAAAAUUUAAUUCUCUUUCGUCUAUCUUGCCGGCUGAACUGUAACUUUGAGGUUAAUUUUAAGGCAAUGGAGGGUAGUACAAAUUUCUUGACUAUCUAUGUUAGAUGAGAAGGAUUAGUAUGUUGGGAAAAUGCUUCUUAUUUAGUGUGAAAAGGAGCAAAUAAAAUCAGUUGUAUGACAUUAAAAAAAAAAACCGGGUGAAUAGUCAGAUUUAUCAUAGUGUCCAUUUACGGGGGUUGGUAGGUAAGAACAUUACAUCAAAAAGGAAAUCAAAGGACAAGAAAAAAUGUAAAGGAAGAUAAAUGGCUGCCUCUACUGUCGGAUUUGUUAGAAAUCUUAUCUACAAGUUUCAAACAUAGAUUUGAUAUCAGUUGUUACGAUUACGACAGUUCUGAUUCUUAUUUUUAGACAAAAACUCUUGCAAGUG